ACGAACGCUGGCGGCGUGCUUAACACAUGCAAGUCGAACGGAAAGGCCCUGCUUUUGGGGGUGCUCGAGUGGCGAACGGGUGAGUAACACGUGAGUAACCUGCCCUUGACUUUGGGAUAACUUCAGGAAACUGGGGCUAAUACCGGAUAGGAGCUCCUGCUGCAUGGUGGGGGUUGGAAAGUUUCGGCGGUUGGGGAUGGACUCGCGGCUUAUCAGCUUGUUGGUGGGGUAGUGGCUUACCAAGGCUUUGACGGGUAGCCGGCCUGAGAGGGUGACCGGCCACAUUGGGACUGAGAUACGGCCCAGACUCCUACGGGAGGCAGCAGUGGGGAAUAUUGCACAAUGGGCGGAAGCCUGAUGCAGCAACGCCGCGUGCGGGAUGACGGCCUUCGGGUUGUAAACCGCUUUCGCCUGUGACGAAGCGUGAGUGACGGUAAUGGGUAAAGAAGCACCGGCUAACUACGUG
rnacentral:rRNA from 1 species